AAAAUCAUGUGUUGAUUCCCAAAUGUUGCAUAUUUAAUGGGAUGGAGGGAGUAUAUAGUACAAGUUUUUAAUAAAAUAUGUGUGAAUUGAGUUAGUGAUAUUUGGGACCCUAAUUCCAUUUAAUUUUAGAAAAAAUAAACUGGGACCUAUUUGCAUACGAAGGUAAUAGUUCCAUAUAUGAACAACACGAAUUUUAAUCGUAAUAAAUAGGUAAAGUAAAAGAUAAGGGGAAAAAUGGGUAGAGUAAAAGAAAGAAGUGGAUGAAAUAUGAAAGAAAGUUUAUAUUUUCAAAAUGAGACUAUUUUUCAUAGACCGGACGAACGACUAAUUUAAUUUUUUUUAAAUCUAAAACACUAGCUUCAAUUUGAAUUAUGCCACGUGUUUUGUUGAUAACCAUAUGAAUACUCCCUUCGUCCCCAAAGAAUAUGCACUUUGGGUUCGACACGAGUUUUAAUGCAAAAUCGCUAAAGUCAGAGAGAGGUGGUGAGAAAAAGUAAUUAAAGAUUUAUUAGUGGGGAAUGAGUCUCAUCUCAUUAGAGAUGAAAGAGUUUCCAAAAUUGGAAAGUGCAUAUACUUGUGGAACGGACUAAAAAAGAAAGAACACAUAUUUUUGUGGGACGAAGGGAGUAGUUAUUGGUUAAUUAGGGGGAAUUAAGUGAUCCUACUCUUAUAGUAGUACUCAUUCCGUCCAUUAAUAUAAGGCCAAUUUAGAUCUUGCAAGAAUUUAAAAAAAUAUCCUACUAAGAAAGUGAGUGGUAAAUAGGUCCUACUUUCAUUAAUAUAAGGCCAAUUUAGAUCUUGCACGAAUUUAAAAAAAUAUGCUAGUAAGAAAGUGAGUGGUAAAUGGGUCUACUUUUAUAUAUUAGUUUUAUAGUGAAAUGUGAGUGAAAUAAAGUUAAUGUAAUAUGAGAUCUAUUACUAAAAAUAGUAAAUAAACAAAUGAGCCAUGUAUUGGUGGACUGAAAAAAUGGCAAAAUGAGAUGUUUAUAGUAUUUAUUUCGAGGAGCAAGAAUCUUCCGUCACACAUAGAAGAUAAAUAUACAGUAUACUCUAAACAUUGUUCUUUAGGGCCUGUUCAGUGGGUUUGAUAUGGGAUGAUCAGAAUUAAACGAUGCAUAGAUUUCGGUGGAUGAAGCCCACAUAUAACACCCCCAAUUCCAGCAUCCAGUGAUGCAGAUUUCCACAUUGUUUUAAUUGUGAUUUUUAUAUUUAUAAGGUGAUUUUACAUAACUGCCCCAAUGAAUUAAUAAAUACUAUAUCUUCAAGCGCGAAUUGUGAAAUUGGAAUCGCGACAAAUAUUUUUGCUUUCAAUAAAUAGAGCUGGUUAACAAAAAAAAGGGCAAAUCCUACGAGCAAACUUCAACCCUCAUCAAGCAAAACUGCAAUCGAAUCUACUUCUCCCACAAGAUAUGAACUUGCUUCGGUUCUCGUUUGUGCCUAAUUUUACGCCGGCGAUUUCUUAUGUCGUAAGUCGAAACAAUAGUCGUGAAUAUUUAGUGAUUGAUUGUAUGAAUUGAGGUUUGUUAAGGUCGAAGUGGGCAGAAUUUUGCAUUGUAAACCGCUUUGAUCAAUUUCUCAUUCCGUUUUGUGAAAUUGCAUUUGUUGUGGUAUAUUUUGGACUGUGAUGUUACUGGGUUCUAUUUUUAUAUGAAACAGAAUUAAUUGUUUUAUGGUUGUCGUGCCGUGCCCUGAUGUGGAUAAUAGUUGGCCGAUUUGUUGUAGGUAAUGUCAGUGGUACUAAACGACCAAUGGGGAGCCACAACUCUAGUUUAGUCAGUGAAGAAAAAUGCUUGUGACCUUUGUUGCUACUGCAUUGGUGAGUCCCCCAGACAAAAGUACCGAAAGGAAGAGCGUUCGAGAAGAAUAUGGAUUCGGGGGGGGAGGAGAUCCUCGCAGCUACGCUGCUCGAACUUGUUGCCAGGGGCUGGAAAUCAGAUAAUUAUUUCCGCGCUGGGUACUUGACUAAAAUCGAGGAUAACAUCCGGACUGAAUUUCCCGAUUCCGACUUGAAAGGCACUCCACAUAUAACAUCGAAAAUAUCGGCGUGGAAGAAGACAUACUCAAAGGAAUUUUGGGAAGAAGUGGUGUCGGCUUCAAUACCCAUGGCAAAUACAAAAUUGAUUGCGAUGACGAUCAAUGGGAGCAAAUUGUACAUGUAAUGAUCCUCUUCUGUGAAGGUUGUGUUGUGUUGUUGCAGACAGGCAAGGAUGCCAAAUUAAUGCGUACAAAAUCGUGGCCCGUUUGGGAGACUUAGAAAAGCAUUUUCGGCAAGGACCGUGCCUCCGGUGGUGGGCCCGAGCAAGUAGAUGUUGCGACUGAACAUUUAAAAGCCAAACUAGCCUGUGGUAGCUAGGUAAAUGAGAACGAUUAUCGUCCUCCGUAUAAGAAUGGUACUUCGGUGCAUGCUAGUGAACCAUACGUCCAGCCCUUUGACCUCAACGACGACAGCUCCAGAAAUGGUAGAAAGUAAGCUUCAACUACCAAACCAAGUUCUCACAAAGGGAAACAAUAUUGCCCUGGCACUGUUACGAUGGAGUUCCUUUCUAACCUUCAUGCUGAAACCAACAAUCGUUUGGAGAUGAUUUCUGCACACAUUAGCUACGAGUUUGAUCUAGGAAAGGCGGGGCAGAAGGUCUUCGAUAAGCUGGGCGAUGUAGAGGGGCUAACACUGAAACAGAGGUAUAAGUUAUGUAACAUCUUGGGUGAUAAACCCCAACGACUUGAGGUGUUCAUUGGUAUGCCGGCUAAUGCUCGACUAGGGUACCUGUUGAUGUUGACCGAAGACAACCGCUAGUUUGUUCGUAUUGGUGACAUUUUGUUAUGACUUUAGUAAUAUGUAUUUUCCCUGAUCUGUAUUAAUCGGACUUUAGGGUGAUUAUGCCAUUAGGCAUGAACUAUGUAUUAAUCUACUUUGUGGCACCCAUGUGCAUCAUUCUAAGGUUAUGUAAAUCUGCUA